CCUACGGGAGGCAGCAGUGAGGAAUAUUGGUCAAUGGGCGCAAGCCUGAACCAGCCAAGUCGCGUGAGGGAUGACGGUCCUAUGGAUUGUAAACCUCUUUUGUCGGGGAGCAAGGCCCGCCACGUGUGGCGGGAAGGAUAGUACCCGCUGACACAGCAUCGGCUAACUCGGUGCUAGCAGCCGCGGUAAUACGGGGGAUGCGAGCGUUGUCCGGAUUUUUUGGGUUUAAAGGGGGCGUAGGUGGAUUGUUAAGUCAGUUGUGAAAGUGUGCGGCUCAACCGUAAAAUGGCAGUUGAUACUGGCAGUCUGGAGUACAGUAGAGGGGGGCGGAAUUCGUGGUGUAGCAGUGAAAUGCUUAGAUAUCGCGAAGAACUCCGAUUGCGAAGGCAGCUCACUGGACAGCAACUGACACUGAGGCUCGAAAGUGUGGGUAUCAAACGGGAUUAGAUACCCGGGUAGUC
rnacentral:rRNA from 1 species